AAAAUUAUGAUCAGGGGUGUACAUACUAGGGUUGGGAAUCUUAGUUCUAAGACCGAUACGAUACGCAUCUCCGAUCCCAUAUGUUACAGAUACGUGUGUGGCACCUCGCGAUACGAUACGAUUCACACCUAAAUCAUGAUACAGAGCGAUUGAGCUCUUUCUGAUUCAACACAUUCAUUCUGGGAAAAAAUA